UGGGGAAUAUUGGACAAUGGGCGAAAGCCUGAUCCAGCCAUGCCGCGUGUGUGAAGAAGGUCUUCGGAUUGUAAAGCACUUUAAGUUGGGAGGAAGGGCAGUAAGCGAAUACCUUGCUGUUUUGACGUUACCGACAGAAUAAGCACCGGCUAACUCUGUGCCAGCAGUCGCGGUAAUACAGAGGGUGCAAGCGUUAAUCGGAAUUACUGGGCGUAAAGCGCGCGUAGGUGGAUCGUUAAGUUGAAUGUGAAAGCCCCGGGCUCAACCUGGGAACUGCAUCCAAAAAUGGCGAGCUAGAGUAGGGCAGAGGGUGGUGGAAUUUCCUGUGUAGCGGUGAAAUGCGUAGAUAUAGGAAGGAACACCAGUGGCGAAGGCGACCACCUGGGCUCAUACUGACACUGAGGUGCGAAAGCGUGGGGAGCAAACAGG
rnacentral:rRNA from 1 species